rnacentral:ribozyme from 13 species
UUUUUUUUUUUAAGGGGGGUUUUUUUUUUUUUUUUUUUUUUUUUUUAAGGGGUGUUUUUUUUAUUUCGUUCAAGAAAAAACAACAACAACAACUCCUUCGUGGAGAAUACUCGUGAAUUGCGAAGAUCCCCAAUUCCAAUAUUGCUCAUUUAAAAAUUGUG